rnacentral:rRNA from 1 species
AAAGAAAAUUCGAUUCCCUUAGUAGCGGCGAGCGAAACGGGAAGAGCCCAAACCAACAAGCUUGCUUGUUGGGGUUGUAGGACACUCUAUACGGAGUUACAAAGGACGACAUUAGACGAAUCAUCUGGAAAGAUGAAUCAAAGAAGGUAAUAAUCCUGUAGUCGAAAAUGUUGUCUCUCUUGAGUGGAUCCUGAGUACGACGGAACACGUGAAAUUCCGUCGGAAUCUGGGAGGACCAUCUCCUAAGGCUAAAUACUCUCUAGUGACCGAUAGUGAACCAGUACCGUGAGGGAAAGGUGAAAAGCACCCCGGAAGGGGAGUGAAAUAGAACCUGAAACCGUGUGCUUACAAGUAGUCAGAGCCCGUUAAUGGGUGAUGGCGUGCCUUUUGUAGAAUGAACCGGCGAGUUACGAUUUGAUGCAAGGUUAAGCAGUAAAUGUGGAGCCGUAGCGAAAGCGAGUCUGAAUAGGGCGUUUAGUAUUUGGUCGUAGACCCGAAACCAGGUGAUCUACCCUUGGUCAGGUUGAAGUUCAGGUAACACUGAAUGGAGGACCGAACCGACUUACGUUGAAAAGUGAGCGGAUGAACUGAGGGUAGCGGAGAAAUUCCAAUCGAACCUGGAGAUAGCUGGUUCUCUCCGAAAUAGCUUUAGGGCUAGCCUCAAGUGAUGAUUAUUGGAGGUAGAGCACUGUUUGGACGAGGGGCCCCUCUCGGGUUACCGAAUUCAGACAAACUCCGAAUGCCAAUUAAUUUAACUUGGGAGUCAGAACAUGGGUGAUAAGGUCCGUGUUCGAAAGGGAAACAGCCCAGACCACCAGCUAAGGUCCCAAAAUAUAUGUUAAGUGGAAAAGGAUGUGGCGUUGCCCAGACAACUAGGAUGUUGGCUUAGAAGCAGCCAUCAUUUAAAGAGUGCGUAAUAGCUCACUAGUCGAGUGACACUGCGCCGAAAAUGUACCGGGGCUAAACAUAUUACCGAAGCUGUGGAUUGUCCUUUGGACAAUGGUAGGAGAGCGUUCUAAGGGCGUUGAAGCAUGAUCGUAAGGACAUGUGGAGCGCUUAGAAGUGAGAAUGCCGGUGUGAGUAGCGAAAGACGGGUGAGAAUCCCGUCCACCGAUUG